GACGUAGGGCGCGAGCGUUGUCCGGAUUUAUUGGGCGUAAAGAGCUCGUAGGCGGCUUGUUACGUCGACUGUGAAAACCCGCGGCUCAACCGCGGGCCUGCAGUCGAUACGGGCAGGCUAGAGUGUGGUAGGGGAGACUGGAAUUCCUGGUGUAGCGGUGAAAUGCGCAGAUAUCAGGAGGAACACCGAUGGCGAAGGCAGGUCUCUGGGCCACUACUGACGCUGAGAAGCGAAAGCGUGGGGAGCGAACAGG
rnacentral:rRNA from 1 species